rnacentral:rRNA from 1 species
AGUCAAUGCUCGCAAGAGUGAACUAGCUAACUGAAAUCACAAAAUAACUUAAUUGUGCUUAUUGUGAUAACGUAAGGGAAAAAAAUGAUAUUACCUUACUAUAAGUGUUGUCUAAAUUACUGGUGCCAGAAGACUCGGUAACACCAGAAACGCGAACGUUAGUCGUCUUAAACAGGCGUAAAGGGUGAGUAGGCUGCUUAAAAAUUUCUAAAUUAAAUUAAGCUAUAUAAAAUUAACAUAAAUUAAUUAAAAAUAAUAAAAACCAAAAAAAAAAUUGUAAUUUUAUAUUAUAUUUAAUUUAGAGAAAAUAAAAGCUAGAAUCUUAUUGAGGAUAAACCAAAUAAUGUUUAAGUGUAGGGAUGAUAUCCUUAGAUACUAAAUGGAAUACUAAUGGUGAAGACUUUUUAUCUACUAAAGAUUGACGCUGAGGAACGAAAGUGAGAAUAGGGAAUAGGAUUAGAUACCCAGUUACCUCUCACCGUCAACGAUGAAUGGUAGUUGUUAGUUUAAUAAAAUUGAUAACGAUGUUAACGCGAUAACCAUUCCGCCUUGAGAGUACGGUUGCAAAACUGAAACCAAAAAAAUUAGUCGGUCUCGGAGCAAACGGAGUGAAGCAUGUUAU